rnacentral:rRNA from 1 species
AGAGUUUAGGACUACAUCUAAUUGGGUUAAUAAUUCCAUUUAAAGCUUAAUAUUUAUAAAAUAGAGAUAGUAGAUAAGUACUGGGAGGAAAAGAUGAAAGAGAGCUUUGAAUAGAUUGUGAAAUAGUACCUGAAAUUGUUUAAAAGGAGCUGAUGGAAGUUAGUGAGAGGAUAAGUCCUGUCACAGUGAUUUCUAGUAUAUGCGAUGCAGUGGCAGACUCUAUAAUGCUGCAUCUAUGAAUAAUACUUAUUGAUCUAUUCCAGCAAUUUGGUAUCAAAUUAUGUGCGUUACAAAAAAACCAUGAAUAAUUUUAAAAUCUAAUUUUAAUCG